UUAUCAUGCAAGUCGAGCGGAGCACUUCGGUGCUUAGCGGCGGACGGGUGAGUAACACGUAGGUAACCUGCCUGUAAGAUCGGGAUAACUAUCGGAAACGAUAGCUAAGACCGGAUAGCUGGUUUUCUCGCAUGAGAGAAUCAUGAAACACGGAGCAAUCUGUGGCUUAUAGAUGGGCCUGCGGCGCAUUAGCUAGUUGGUGAGGUAACGGCUCACCAAGGCGACGAUGCGUAGCCGACCUGAGAGGGUGAACGGCCACACUGGGACUGAGACACGGCCCAGACUCCUACGGGAGGCAGCAGUAGGGAAUCUUCCGCAAUGGACGCAAGUCUGACGGAGCAACGCCGCGUGAGUGAUGAAGGUUUUCGGAUCGUAAAGCUCUGUUGCCCUAGACGAACAGCAGGGAGAGUAACUGCUCUCUGUGUGACGGUAUAGGAGAAGAAAGCCCCGGCUAACUACGUGCCAGCAGCCGCGGUAAUACGUAGGGGGCAAGCGUUGUCCGGAAUUAUUGGGCGUAAAGCGCGCGCAGGCGGUUAAUUAAGUUGGGUGUUUAAGCCCGGGGCUCAACCCCGGUUCGCAUCCAAAACUGGUUGACUUGAGUGUAGGAGAGGAAAGUGGAAUUCCACGUGUAGCG
rnacentral:rRNA from 1 species